rnacentral:rRNA from 1 species
UACGUAGGGUGCGAGCGUUGUCCGGAAUUACUGGGCGUAAAGAGCUCGUAGGCGGUUUGUCGCGUCGUCUGUGAAAACCAGCAGCUCAACUGCUGGCUUGCAGGCGAUACGGGCAGACUUGAGUACUGCAGGGGAGACUGGAAUUCCUGGUGUAGCGGUGAAAUGCGCAGAUAUCAGGAGGAACACCGGUGGCGAAGGCGGAUCUCUGGGCCUGUUCUGACGCUGAGGCGCGAAAGCUAGGGGAGCAAACAGG